UGCUAAGCCCAGGGGAAGAAGCAGGAAUCUACCCGAGGAGGGUGUAUGAGGUGAAGGGAGAGAGACAUUCUGCUUCUCACAAUGUGGAGAAAGGCAGCAAGAGCAGUGUCUACACACGAUCUGAGUUGGUGUAUUAGUAAGAGAGUGUAAGCCACGGUGAGGACUUUUGUUGUUGUUGAAAAGUGCUGUAUAAAUAUUUGGAAGACGAAAACGAAGAAGACGACGAAGAAGAAUGCCAAUAGAGGCCUGGUGCUGACGGCUCUGGAGGCUUCCUCGACAAGGCAGCAAAGGCCUCUUGUAUACGCAGAGCAGCAGGAUGUCAUUGUGCUGCAUCAGCAGGAGGCCUGCUCCACCAGGCGAGCCAAAACAGGACUUCCUCAAUUCCCACCUCUCAGACUGGAAUCCACUUGGGGUUCAGGAGGCCCUGGCUCUGGGUUCCAUUGUGGCUCUGAAGACAUCCCUGAAACAGCAGCUCAUCACACAUGGGCAAAGGCCUCUUGUACAUGUACAGCUUUAAAAUGAAAUUGCUGCACAUCAGGACAAGAAGCCUGCACGAAUGUACUAUGAAGGCCGCUCUAGGAACAAAGCCUUUUGGAAGCCAUUACAGAACCUAUUGAAUUCCAGUCAAGCCCAGAACUUUCCUAGGGGCAAAACCAGAAUUUUCGACCCACUUCCAAUGAAAGUAGAAUUCAGAGACAUCACUAGUCUUAACACCCUCAUUCAGGCCGGAUGUAUCCCAGGCCCUCAGCUAUCAUGCAAGGGGAGCAAGGGAACUGGUGUAGAUUCCUAGAACAAGGCUGAGCCCAUCUCUCACCCCCUGGCUCUCGGCGGCGUCCCCUUGCAGAGCGCUUGCGUUGAUCCAACACACGGAAAGCUUCAGCGGAUUUCUGCAGUUUCCCGACAAAGAAUUCCACAUCAUCAAAGACCUGGUUCAGCAGCUCCUGUCAGGCACAGAGAUACGAGAGAGAGAAAAGCACUGUUCAGACAUUACGUUGUACAAAUGUAAUGAUGCCUGUACCUUCAUACAUGGUUUUGUGUGAAUGAUGGCACGUGUGUUCAUUUUAAAAGUGGACCUGGAUACAGGCCCUUCAAAUCAUGGUGCAGAUAGGAACUGUAGUGCUGUACCUGUGUUCACUGUGUACACUGUACACUCAUUGUACUAGUGCUGCACAUCACAUCAGAAUAGGGCUAAGGCUGCCAAAGGGAACAGAGGACAGGUCUCCUGCAUCUUUAAUACAGUAGAUGCCAGAAGAGGGAAUUUCAACAGGUGCAGCUUAUCUUCUUCCUGCAUUACUAGCUGCACCUGGGAUCUAUCUAUCUAUCUAUCUAUCUAAUUUGUAUACCGCCCCAAACUUUCAUCUCUGAGCAGUUUACAAUAACAUAAACCAGUUAAAAACAUAUACAAAAACUUAAAAACAAUUUAACAAUUUAAAAAUAACCAGAAAUUAAAACUCCAAAAUA